CCCUGUGGGUGUGGUUUGUGGUGGUGGGUAGUUCUAGUUCUCCCUGAAAGCUGUCAGCAUGGGAGUUGCUGAAUCCUGUUCCUAAUAAAGACAAAGCUGUUUACCAUCCCAC